rnacentral:rRNA from 1 species
CCUACGGGAGGCAGCAGUGAGGAAUAUUGAGCAAUGGGCGCAAGCCUGACUCAGCAACGCCGCGUGGAUGAUGAAGGCCUUCGGGUUGUAAAAUCCUUUUCUGGGGAACGAUAAUGACGGUACCCCAGGAAUAAGUCCCGGCUAACUACGUGCCAGCAGCCGCGGUAAAACGUAGGGGGCGAGCGUUAUCCGGAUUUAUUGGGCGUAAAGCGCACGUAGGCGGCGCUGAAAGUUGGACGUGAAAGCUCCUGGCUUAACUGGGAGAGGUCGUUCAAUACUACAGGGCUUGAGGUUGGAAGAGGAGAGCGGAAUUCCCGGUGUAGUGGUGGAAUGCGUAGAUAUCGGGAGGAACUCCAGUGGCGAAAGCGGCUCUCUGGUCCACCCCUGACGCUGAGGUGCGAAAGCGUGGGGAGCGAACGGGAUUAGAUACCCCGGUAGUCCACGCUGUAAACGAUGGAUACUAGGUGUAGGGGGUCAUUUACCCCCUCUGUGCCGAAGCUAACGCGUUAAGUAUCCCGCCUGGGGAGUACGGCCGCAAGGUUGAAACUCAAAGGAAUUGACGG